rnacentral:rRNA from 1 species
AUUGAACGCUGGCGGCAGGCCUAACACAUGCAAGUCGAGCGGAUGAAGGGAGCUUGCUCCUGGAUUCAGCGGCGGACGGGUGAGUAUUGCCCGGGAAUCUCCUGGGCAGGGGGGGAGAACGUCCGGAAACGGGCGCUAAUACUGCAAACGCCUGGAGGGAGAAGGGGGGGGAGUUUCGGACCUCUCCCUAGCAGAGGGGCUUAGGCCGGAUUAGCUAGUUGGUGGGGUAAAGGCCUACAAAGCCGCGGAUCGGUAACUGGCCUGAGAGGAUGAUCGGUCACACUGGAACUGAGACACGGUCCAGACUCCUACGGGAGGCAGCAGUGGGGAAUAUUGGACAAUGGGCGAAAGCCUGAUCCAGCCAUGCCGAGUGUGUGAAGAAGGUCUUCGGAUUGUAAAGCACUUUAAGUUGGGAGGAAGGGCAGUAAGUUAAUACCUUGCUGUUUUGACGUUACCAACAGAAGAAGCACCGGCUAACUUCGUG